UACGUAGGCAGCAAGCGUUGUUCGGAGUUACUGGGCGUAAAGGGUGCGUAGGCGGCUUUUUAAGUUUGGUGUGAAAUCUCCCGGCUCAACUGGGAGGGUGCGCCGAAUACUGAGAGGCUAGAGUGUGGGAGAGGAAAGUGGAAUUCCUGGUGUAGCGGUGAAAUGCGUAGAUAUCAGGAGGAACACCGGUGGUGUAAACGGCUUUCUGGACCAUAACUGACGCUGGAGGCACGAAAAGCCGUGGGUAGCAAACAGGG
rnacentral:rRNA from 1 species